GACGAACGCUGGCGGCGUGCUUAACACAUGCAAGUCGAGCGAAGAAGUUCCUUCGGGAAUGGAUUAGCGGCGGACGGGUGAGUAACACGUGGGUAACCUGCCUCAUAGAGGGGAAUAGCCUUUCGAAAGGAAGAUUAAUACCGCAUAAGAUUGUAGCUUCGCAUGAAGUAGCAAUUAAAGGAGUAAUCCGCUAUGAGAUGGACCCGCGUCGCAUUAGCUAGUUGGUGAGGUAAAGGCUCACCAAGGCGACGAUGCGUAGCCGACCUGAGAGGGUGAUCGGCCAGAUUGGGACUGAGACACGGCCCAGAAUCCUACGGGAGGCAGCAGUGGGGAAUAUUGCACAAUGGGGGAAACCCUGAUGCAGCAACGCCGCGUGAGUGUUGACGGUCUUCGGAUUGUAAAGCUCUGUCUUCAGGGACGAUAAUGACGGUACCUGAGGAGGAAGCCACGGCUAACUACGUGCCAGCCGCCGCUGUAAUAC
rnacentral:rRNA from 1 species